rnacentral:rRNA from 1 species
UUGAAAGGGAAACGAUUGAAGUCAGUCGUACCGACGAGGANUNNNUUUUCGAAUGUGCAUUUGUGGGCGUAUGAGAUCUUCAUUGUUUCCAAUAUGUAUGUUUNUUUGGUGUAUUUUUUNGUAUGGUAGGCCANNNUCGGUUUUGGUNNCCAUAAAAUGAUCGGAGGAAUGUAGCCNCNGNCCCUCGGUUGAAGUGUUAUAGCUUUUGGUAAAUGUGGUGAUUAGGANGAGGAUUGAAANGAAUACCUUUUAGCCUAUCCGUCUGACCUCUGAAAGUUACUUGGGUCCCGAAAGCUUGCUUACGGUCAUUUAAGUUGACGGUCAAUAGGUUAGAACGCGAUNNCCUCGUUAAGGAUGUUGACGUA